GACGAACGCUGGCGGCGUGCUUAACACAUGCAAGUCGAACGGAAAGGCCCUGCUUUUGUGGGGUGCUCGAGUGGCGAACGGGUGAGUAACACGUGAGUAACCUGCCCUUGACUUUGGGAUAACUUCAGGAAACUGGGGCUAAUACCGGAUAGGAGCUCCUGCUGCAUGGUGGGGGUUGGAAAGUUUCGGCGGUUGGGGAUGGACUCGCGGCUUAUCAGCUUGUUGGUGGGGUAGUGGCUUACCAAGGCUUUGACGGGUAGCCGGCCUGGGAGGGUGACCGGCCACAUUGGGACUGAGGUACGGCCCAGACUCCUACGGGAGGCAGCAGUGGGAAAUAUUGCACAAUGGGCGGAAGCCUGAUGCAGCAACGCCGCGUGCGGGAUGACGGCCUUCGGGUUGUAAACCGCUUUCGCCUGUGACGAAGCGUGAGUGACGGUAAUGGGUAAAGAAGCACCGGCUAACUACGUG
rnacentral:rRNA from 1 species